AGUUUUCAUAUGAUCACUGAAGUUAAGCAAAGUUGAGCCUGGUCAGUACCUAAAUGGGUGACCACUUGGGAAUACUAGGUGCUGUAAG